rnacentral:piRNA from 1 species
UNCAAAUGUAGCCCUAUAGGUGGUGAUUCU